rnacentral:misc_RNA from 1 species
UUGACUUAUUUAUAGUCUACUCAGAAUACACUGUAAUUCAGGGUUUGGUUUGCGUGCCGCCGGCAGGCGCCCCCCAAGGGAGGCCGCGCCCCGGUUAGAGGCGCCCCGCCGAAGCAACGAUAGGUAUGUCCACGAGGGUUGGGAGUUAAGAACUCGAUAAUGAUCCCUCCGCUGGUUCACCAACGGAGA